rnacentral:lncRNA from 1 species
AUCAUGCUCAGUAUCUUUGAUCUCUAUCAAACACCUGCACUCUCACUCCAACAUCCCCAUGUCAUCGAUUCGAGACUUGUCUAUCCAUGAAAAGAAGUGAUCUGUGAAGAAAAAAUAGGAUAGUUUUGUGCAUGCAAUUUAAAAAUUUUCGUAACAAAUUUGUUAGAUUAAAUAAUUUAAUCUACAUUACAUGCACAAGAUCUAAUCUAAACUACCAAGCCA